rnacentral:rRNA from 1 species
AGUGAACGCUGGCGGUAGGCCUAACACAUGCAAGUCGAACGGCAGCACAGUAAGAGCUUGCUCUUACGGGUGGCGAGUGGCGGACGGGUGAGGAAUACAUCGGAAUCUACUUUUUCGUGGGGGAUAACGUAGGGAAACUUACGCUAAUACCGCAUAUGACCUACGGGUGAAAGCAGGGGAUCUUCGGACCUUGCGCGAUUGAAUGAGCCGAUGUCGGAUUAGCUAGUUGGCGGGGUAAAGGCCCACCAAGGCGACGAUCCGUAGCUGGUCUGAGAGGAUGAUCGGCCACACUGGAACUGAGACAUGGUCCAGACUCCUACGGGAGGCAGCAGUGGGGAAUAUUGGACAAUGGGCGCAAGCCUGAUCCAGCCAUACCGCGUGGGUGAAGAAGGCCUUCGGGUUGUAAAGCCCUUUUGUUGGGAAAGAAAAGCAGCAGGUUAAUACCCCGCUGUUCUGACGGUACCCAAAGAAUAAGCACCGGCUAACUUCGUG